rnacentral:rRNA from 1 species
AACGAACGCUGGCGGCAGGCUUAACACAUGCAAGUCGAACGCACCUUUCGGGGUGAGUGGCAGACGUGUGAGUAACGCGUGGGAAUCUACCCUUCUCUACGGGAUAGCUCCGUGAAACUGGAAUUAAUACCGUAUACGUCCUGAGGGAGAAAGAUUUAUCGGGGAAGGAUGAGCCCGCGUUGGAUUAGCUAGUUGGUGGGGUAAAGGCCUACCAAGGCGACGAUCCAUAGCUAGUCUAAGAGGAGGAUCAUCCACAUUGGGACUGAGACACGGACCAACCUGCUACGGGAGGCAGGAGUGGGGAAUAUUGGACAAGGGGGGCAAGCCUGAUACAGCCAUGCCGGGUGAGAGAUGAAGGCCCUAGGGUUGUAAAGCUCUUUCAGUGGGGACGAUAAUGACGGUACCCACAGAAGAAGCACCGGCUAACUUCGUG